rnacentral:rRNA from 1 species
UACAGAGGUCUCAAGCGUUGUUCGGAUUCAUUGGGCGUAAAGGGUGCGUAGGCGGCGGGGUAAGUCAGGUGUGAAAUCUCGAGGCUCAACCUCGAAACUGCACUUGAUACUGCCUUGCUAGAGUACUGGAGAGGAGAUUGGAAUUUACGGUGUAGCAGUGAAAUGCGUAGAUAUCGUAAGGAAGACCAGUGGCGAAGGCGAAUCUCUGGACAGUUACUGACACUGAGGCACGAAGGCCAGGGGAGCAAACGGG